ACGAAUAAGGGGUGGGCAAGUUCUGGUGUCAGCCGCCGCGGUAAAACCAGCACCUCAAGUGGUCAGGAUGAUUAUUGGGCCUAAAGCAUCCGUAGCCGGCUCUGUAAGUUUUCGGUUAAAUCUGUACGCUCAACGUACAGGCUGCCGGGAAUACUGCAGAGCUAGGGAGUGGGAGAGGUAGACGGUACUCGGUAGGAAGGGGUAAAAUCCUUUGAUCUAUUGAUGACCACCUGUGGCGAAGGCGGUCUACCAGAACACGUCCGACGGUGAGGGAUGAAAGCUGGGGGAGCAAACCGGAUUAGAUACCCGGGUAGUCCCAGCUGUAAACUAUGCAAACUCAGUGAUGCAUUGGCUUGUGGCCAAUGCAGUGCUGCAGGGAAGCCGUUAAGUCUGCCGCCUGGGAAGUACGUACGCAAGUAUGAAACUUAAAGGAAUUGGCGGGGGAGCACCACAAGGGGUGAAGCCUGCGGUUCAAUUGGACUCAACGCCGGGA
rnacentral:rRNA from 1 species